GGAAUCUAGUCACGAGGCAAAGAAAAGAAAAGUGAAGAAGCCUAAAAAAUAUGAUGACAUAUAUGACGCACCUGUGCCGCCUCUCAUGUUUCGCCGGAGCUCAGCAUCAUCCUCAGCUGACAUUGCCGAACCUGAUGAAGAUGACACUGUGCUGUCCAGAACCUCAA